rnacentral:rRNA from 1 species
GACGUAGGGCGCGAGCGUUGUCCGGAAUUAUUGGGCGUAAAGAGCUCGUAGGCGGUUUGUCGCGUCGAAUGUGAAAUCCCGGGGCUCAACCCCGGGCCUGCAUUGGAUACGGGCAGACUAGAGUUCGGUAGGGGAGUCUGGAAUUCCUGGUGUAGCGGUGAAAUGCGCAGAUAUCAGGAGGAACACCGGUGGCGAAGGCGGGACGCUGGGCCGAUACUGACGCUGAGGAGCGAAAGCGUGGGGAGCAAACAGG